CUCAUCGCAUCCUGGGGCUGGAGCAGGUCCCAAGGGUAUGGCCGUUCGCCAUUUAAAGCGGUACGCGAGCUGGGUUCAGAACGUCGUGAGACAGUUCGGUCCCUAUCCUCCGUGGGCGUAGGAAAAUUGAGGGAGGCUGCCCCUAGUACGAGAGGACCGGGGUGGACGGACCUACGGUGUACGGGUUGUCUACCACAGGCACUGCCCGGUAGCUGAGUCCGGUUGGGAUAACCGCUGAAAGCAUCUAAGCGGGAAGCCCGUCCCAAGAUGAGUUUUCCUUUCGGUAAGGCCCCUCGUAGACCACGAGGUUGAUAGACCGCAGGUGUACGUGCAGCAAUGCAUUGAGCCGAGCGGCACUAAUCGGCCGAGCUCUUCUU
rnacentral:rRNA from 1 species